GCGUUGGUUUAGCUCAGUGGUUACUUCGAUGUUUGAAUUCUCUUUCAGAGAUACCAACCUCCAUCCCAACCUGGGAUCGAACCCCGGGCGCUGCCCAGCGCUUUU
rnacentral:vault_RNA from 1 species